rnacentral:tRNA from 1 species
GGGUGAUUAGCUCAGUUGGUAGAGCAGCUGACUCUUAAUCAGCGGGUCACAAGUUCGAAACUUGUAUCACCCACCA